rnacentral:rRNA from 1 species
CAGUAGCCGUGGGAAUACGAGGGGGGCAAGCGUUGUUCGGAAUUAUUGGGCGUAAAGGGUGCGUAGGCGGCUUGACAAGUCUUGUGUGAAAUCUAUGGGCUCAACCCAUAGUCUGCACGGGAAACUGUCGGGCUUGAGAAUGGGAGAGGUGAGUGGAAUUUCCGGUGUAGCGGUGAAAUGCGUAGAUAUCGGAAGGAAUACCUGUGGCGAAAGCGGCUCACUGGACCAUUUCUGACGCUGAUGCACGAAAGCUAGGGGAGCAAACAGGAUUAGAUACCCCCGUAGUCCCUGUCUCUUAUAC